rnacentral:rRNA from 1 species
UACGGGGGGGGCAAGCGUUGUUCGGAAUUACUGGGCGUAAAGGGCUCGUAGGCUGCCAACUAAGUCAGACGUGAAAUCCCCAGGCUCAACCUGGGAACUGCGUCUGAUACUGGAUGGCUUGAAUCCGGGAGAGGGAUGCAGAAUUCCAGGUGUAGCGGUGAAAUGCGUAGAUAUCUGGAGGAAUACCGGUGGCGAAGGCGGCAUCCUGGACCGGCAUUGACGCUGAGGAGCGAAAGCCAGGGGAGCAAACGGG